AGGGGUAUAGUUAAUUAUAACAUUUAAGUUGCAUUUAAAAGGUAUUGUAUUCAAUUAUCCUUAAUUAAU
rnacentral:tRNA from 1 species